ACUUGAACCUACUUAAUAUUUAUAUAUUAAUAAUGAGUAUCCUUAAAUGUUCAGUAAUUCCGGAUUUAACCAGUCCUUAUCUCUGCAGCAAAAUAUAUAAUAUGUUGUCCUAAUCGCGAUAGACAUAAUUUUCCUGAUAGCGAAAUGUUGGUGUCCUUUAUCAAGACCUAGAUCAUUUAACAUAUCUAAAAAGGAAUGAAAUUCUUUUGAGAAAACGCCUAAAGAACUAAUUGACAAAUUUACAAAUUUUACGGACUUAAAUUGUUUCUUUUGCUGUGUA